rnacentral:tRNA from 1 species
UAGCGCGCGCGCUUUGGGAGCGCGAGGUCGCCGGUUCAAGUCCGGCAUCCCCGA